rnacentral:lncRNA from 1 species
GCCUAAUUUAUAAAUGAUGCGUGUGGUUCUCUAUUGAACUCCGUAACUGCCUUAUGGUAUUUCCCUCUUUAUCAUGAUGUGGUUUUUCUUUAAAUUAGUAAUAGGAGUUUUUUCUCUAUUAUGAUGAGGUUUAUCAUUAUUAUGAUAAGCUUUUUUCUCUAUUAUGAUGAGGUUUUCUAUUAUGAUGAGCCUUUUCUCUAUUAUGAUCAGCUUUUUCUAUAUUAUGAGUAGGUCUUAUUCUAUUAUGAUGAGGUUUUUCUUUAUUUUGAUGAGGGUUUUCUUUAUUUUGAUGAGGGUUUUCUUUAUUAUGAUGAGGUUUUCUUUAUUUUGAUGAAGGUUUUCUUUAUUAUGAUGAGUUUUUUCUCUCUCAUGAUGAGGUUUUUCUUUAUUUUGAUGCAGUCAAUACCCAAACAGUUCCGAUGUUGUUGCACUCCCCAAUACUAUAUAUUCCCCUACCUGCUACCGAUAUGGCACAAUAAUGCCAACAGGUGAACAAGAUGAAAGAAUUCUUGAACAUGUUGUAUAAGGUCGAAGCGUAUGAGAAAGAAAAGGUCGAUUUGCAAUGAUUUUUUUUUUUUUUUUAAGUUUAACGGAAAUAAAACUGCGGAGUCUUGGUGAUAUAACUCUCGUAGAUAUACACAGGUAGCAAUAGUUCUGUAGAAAAACAACAUGAUUUCAUAAAUUUUCUAUGAUAAAACAUUGUUUUAUUACCUUUAACUAGAUUAACUAGAUUAUCAGUAUGAUUAAUAAUUGUUUACCCUUGUCUGUGAUUGUGUGUGUUCGUCCGAAAGAAAAUAUUUUCGUCACAUUUUUCUAAGCAACCACAAAUCAUAGCCACUUGAAACCUGUUAUGCUGGUGGUCCCAUAUGGUCGGAUGUGUCUCCGAGUUCACGCAAAGAUUGCCCUGUCAGUUCUGACGUAGAGAUUUUUGUAAAUUAUGGGGUAGGUUCACCACUGUUUGUAAAAUUCAUCAUAGAAAUGUUAUUUGACACUGACAGAAUUUCUUGAGGGACCACCAUAGGAAUAUAAUUACUGUUCACGAAUUUUAAGAGAUUUCCCAUGUCCGAAAUCUUGAAGUCACAAUCCAAAAU